UAUACUAUUCAGAGUUUGAUCCUGGCUCAGGAUGAACGCUAGCGGCAGGCUUAACACAUGCAAGUCGAGGGGCAGCAUGAUCGAACUUUCGGGUUCGAUUGAUGGCGACCGGCGCAAGGGUGCGUAACGCGUGAGCAACUUGCCCUCAUCAGGGGAAUAACCGUUGGAAACGACGACUAAUACCCCAUAGCACAUAUUUAAGGCAUCUUUUAUAUGUUAAAGAAUUUCGGAUGAGGAUAGGCUCGCGUGACAUUAGCUAGAUGGCGGGGUAACGGCCCACCAUGGCGACGAUGUCUAGGGGUUCUGAGAGGAAGGUCCCCCACACUGGAACUGAGACACGGUCCAG
rnacentral:rRNA from 1 species